UACGUAGGGUGCAAGCAUUGUCCGGAUUUAUUGGGCGUAAGGAGCUCGUAGGCGGCUUGUCACGUCGGGUGUGAAAACUCGGGGCUCAACCCCGAGCCUGCACUCGAUACGGGCUAGCUAGAGUGUUGCAGGGGAGACUGGAAUUCCUGGUGUAGCGGUGAAAUGCGCAGAUAUCAGGAGGAACACCGGUGGCGAAGGCGGGUCUCUGGGCAACUACUGACGCUGAGGAGCGAAAGCGUGGGGAGCGAACAGG
rnacentral:rRNA from 1 species